CAGCAGCCGCGGGAAUACGUAAGGGGCAAGUGUUAUCCGGAAUUACUGGGUGUAAAGGGAGCGUAGACGGUUAAACAAGUCUGAAGUGAAAUGCCGGGGCUCAACCCCGGAGCUGCUUUGGGAACUGUAGAACUGGAGUGUCGGAGGGGUAAGCGGAAUUCCCAGUGUAGCGGUGAAAUGCGUAGAUAUUGGGAGGAACACCGGCGGCGAAGGCGGCUUACUGGACGACAACUGACGUUGAGGCUCGAAGGCGUGGGUAGCAAACUGGAUUAGAGACCCCGGUAGUCCCUGUCUCUUAUAU
rnacentral:rRNA from 1 species